rnacentral:misc_RNA from 1 species
GAUGAAGAACGUAGCGAAAUGCGAUAAGUAAUGUGAAUUGCAGAAUUCAGUGAAUCAUCGAAUCUUUGAACGCACAUUGCGCCCGCCAGCACUCUGGCGGGCAUGCCUGUUCGAGCGUCAUUUCAACCAUCAAGCCCCCAGGGGCUUGUGCUGGGGCCCUGCGGCUGCCCGCAGGCCCUGAAAACCAGUGGCGGGCUCGCUAGUCACACCGAGCGCAGUAGCACAUCUCGCUCAGGGCGUGCGGCGGGCUCCUGCCGUGAAACCCCCCACUGUAUCCCCAAAGGUUGACCUCGGAUCAGGUAGGAAUACCCGCUGAACUUAAGCAUAUCAAUAAGCGGAGGA